CUCACUAGAAGUCUUGUUUAAUGGGGUCACACUGUUAGCUGCUCCAUUGUCCUUACCUCUGAUUUGUAUGAGCUUGUGGAAUGAGAUGAAAUCCCUAUGGCUGCUUUCUCAAACUAAAUAGGAUUCCCCUAACUUCAUUAUAGGUGGCCAAGCUGCCCCAGAGUCCUCAUUCCCGACUUACAUUCCCACUCGCUUACCGCUGACAGGGGACUGAACCCAUGACCUACUAUUCAAGGAAGAAGUCACUUCCUAGACAUUGGUGCUGUUCAGCCUUCAGUCUGGGCUUUUUACCGAGCAAACGUGUCUGUAGUCCUCCACACGAAAUUAAACAGUUUGUUAUUGAAGGGAAAUAUUACCUAAACACUAGGCUCUAUCAAAUUUCUCCCAGAGAUUAUGAAUCUGGAUUUCAUUAUCUGUUUUUGGAAGAAAAAAUAAUUAUGGGAAAAAAUGUUUCUGCAGCUAAGGUUGGCAGAAAAAAAAACAUGAUUGAAAAGGAUUAA
rnacentral:lncRNA from 1 species